CGUGCAUGCCCGAGCUUUUCCUCUGGGCACCCGCAGCGGGCACCGGGGCUGCCUCGUGCCGUGCGCUGAGAUCAGAGCCCGCUGGGACCCCGGUAUCAGCCCCGUGCUCUCCCUCCCUCCGGCUCCCGGGCUCGGUGAGGGCAGGGUUGGUCCCGUCUGACUCAGCCUGCGUCUGGGGAUGGGGUCAUGGCCGAGGGAGCGAGAGGCAUCGUCACCGAGACGGCAGCCAGAUACAGGAGAACUGCUGUCUGUGACGUACUGGGGAAAUAGGAGGCUUUGUGGCCCUUCAUUCACCGUAUACGAAUAGCAGCUUUGAAGCGAUUUCAUUUGCUCUCAGAAGCAGCACCCUCUCCGAUGACUAACAGUUCCUGAUGGGUGAAACAUAAAGCGGACUGUUUUUUUUUUUUUUUUUUUUUUUUUAACUUUUUUUUUGCUGUCAAGGCAUGACGUUGGACUUUUCACUUCUGGAAACCUGCUUUCUAGCACUCUUGUCGGAAUUUGCAAUGUGACUCAUAUCAACCUCAUAUCAACAGAAAUGAAGGAGUGAGGAGCAUGUGCUCUGCAGGAGCAGGGGCAGCCAACGGGGCUUCCUUGGAAGAAAGCAGUAUGUUUGCAGGUAAGUUAAGAAGGUGAAAGUAUGUAAAAUACACUAAAUAUGGUCCAGCUUGACUUGCCCAAAUGUCUCUUGCAGUGCCUUUUAUCUUGAGCAUCCUAUCAAGCCAAUUUUGAACAACUCUUUCUUCUACAGUUCAUUUCACAACUGCUGUCUGAUGAGUUUCUUUUUUCUACUCUUGGUAUUACUGAGGUGUGUGGAUCUUCUGGAGAAGAUUGUCUCUGUCAUGAUUUAGCAUCAUCACUAUGACCAAUAAUACAGAGAAUAAACAUUCACAGUUAUGAAUGGUUAUAAGAAAGAAACUGGUUAUUGCAUUUUUUGAGAUCAGAUAAGGCAGAACAGCUGCUCAGCAGCCAGCACAACGUGACUGCCAAGGUGAAUUACGGGGACAGCUCUGCUCACUCUCUGCAGGAGCAUCAGCCCCCAGCCUGAAGCCAAGCAGGGCCCUGGUGGCUCAGACCUUGAGCAGACCGAAAAGGCUGCCUCCAAAGAAAUGUUUUGCUAAGUAAGGGCAACAGAAGGGUUUAGAAGCCCCGUAGCACUGGCACUGUGAGUUGCUGGCGAUUGCACCCAUUCCUGGAUGGGAAAGCCCUUGGUGCACCACUGCCUGCCCACCCACAGCUCAGCUUUUCUUUCUCUGUGAGGGGACAGCGUGAUGUCCCCAUCCUCGGGGCACUGGGGACGGGUGAGCCAUCAGCUCCCACCCCUCGGCUCCCACCGCUCACCCAUCCCCUGCCUCCGGUGGUCCUGGGCAUGGCGAUGCCAAAACAAGUUCACAGCCCCGAGGCA